rnacentral:rRNA from 1 species
GACGAACGCUGGCGGCGUGCUUAACACAUGCAAGUCGUACGGUAAGGCCCUUUCGGGGGUACACGAGUGGCGAACGGGUGAGUAACACAUGAGUAACCUGCCCACAACUUUGGGAUAACGCUAGGAAACUGGUGCUAAUACUGGAUAUGUGCUCCUGCUGCAUGGUGGGGGUUGGAAAGCUCCGGCGGUUGUGGAUGGACUCGCGGCCUAUCAGCUUGUUGGUGGGGUAGUGGCCUACCAAGGCGGCGACGGGUAGCCGGCCUGAGAGGGUGACCGGCCACAUUGGGACUGAGAUACGGCCCAGACUCCUACGGGAGGCAGCAGUGGGGAAUAUUGCACAAUGGGCGCAAGCCUGAUGCAGCAACGCCGCGUGCGGGAUGACGGCCUUCGGGUUGUAAACCGCUUUCAGCAGGGACGAAGCUUUUUGUGACGGUACCUGCAGAAGAAGCACCGGCUAACUACGUG